rnacentral:lncRNA from 1 species
UUCCUGGAAACAAAGGAGAAAUAAAGGAGUGGAAAAUAAUGCCAUUAUAUAACAGGAAAAUUGCAUCAGAGUUCAUUCUUCAGUUGCAAAAAAAAAAAAAAAGUCAGUUCAAUAGGUAGGUUUUCAAGGAGCCCAAAUGAAUCCAUUCCCUUUUCCCCCAAGUAUUUGGUGGUUGGUUGUUAAUUAAUUUUUUUGCACGAUUCUCUUGCUUUUAAACACGCAGAUAUUUUGUGAGCAUUUCCUGAAGUCACAGGUUAAUUCUUUUGAGGAAAAUGAUCCAUAAAGCUUUGAGGAGCUGCAAUCCCAAGCUGUCUGCAUUAUCCAAACCCCACUUGACCUCCACAACAAGGAGCUGCAGGUCUUGGCACACCGUGGAGUGA